rnacentral:tRNA from 1 species
AAAGCAAAGCAUUGAAAAUGCUCAGAUGGACCAUAAAAAGUCCCAAUAACA